GACAGAGGCCCCAAGCGUUAGGCGGAAUCACUGGGCUUAAAGCGUGUGUAGGCGGACGCCUAAGUGUCUUGUGAAAUCCCACGGCUCACCCGUGGAACUGCUGGGCAUACUGGGCGUCUUGGGCCAACUAGGGGCAGCCGGAACAAGCGGUGGAGCGGUGAAAUGCGUAGAUAUCAGGAAGAACACCCGUGGCGAAGGCGGCUCUCUGGAACGCAACUGACGCUGAGACGCGAAAGCGUGGGGAGCAAACAGG
rnacentral:rRNA from 1 species